GCUCGUAGUUGGAUUUCGGAUGGGUUUGACCGGUCCGCCGUUUGGUGUGCACUGGUCGUACCUAUCUUGCUGUCGGGGACGCGCUCCUGGCCUUAAUUGGCUGGGACGCGGAGUCGGCGAUGUUACUUUGAAAAAAUUAGAGUGUUCAAAGCAGGCCUAAGCUCUGAAUACAUUAGCAUGGAAUAACGCUAUAGGACUCUGGUCUUAUUGCGUUGGUCUUCGAGACCGGAGUAAUGAUUAAGAGGGACAGUUGGGGGCAUUCGUAUUUCAUUGUCAGAGGUGAAAUUCUUGGAUUUAUGAAAGACGAACUUCUGCGAAAGCAUUUGCCAAGGAUGUUUUCAUUAAUCAAGAACGAAAGUUGGGGGCUCGAAGACGAUCAGAUACCGUCCUAGUCUCAACCAUAAACGAUGCCGACUAGGGAUUGGCGGAUGUUAAUUCGAUGACUUCGCCAGCACCUUAUGAGAAAUCAAAGUUUUUGGGUUCCGGGGGGAGUAUGGUCGCAAGGCUGAAACUUAAAGGAAUUGACGGAAGGG
rnacentral:rRNA from 1 species